rnacentral:rRNA from 1 species
AGUCGAGGGAGAAGCGUUGGUUCCGUAAGGUUCCGACGUGGAAACGGGAACGGGUGCGUAACACGUGAGAAACCUGCCCCCCAGACGGGAUAGCCCAGGGAAACUUGGAUUAAUACCGGAUACUCUCUCGGGACCGCAUGGUCCCUUGAGGAAAUGGUCCGCUGCUGGGGGAUGGUCUCGCGGCCUAUCAGGUUGUUGGUGAGGUAACGGCUCACCAAGCCGAAGACGGGUAGCUGGUCUGAGAGGACGAUCAGCCACACUGGAACUGAGACACGGUCCAGACUCCUACGGGAGGCAGCAGCAGGGAAUAUUGCACAAUGGGCGAAAGCCUGAUGCAGCGACGCCGCGUGCGGGAUGAAGGCCUUCGGGUUGUAAACCGCUUUCAGGAGGGAAGAAACUGACGGUACCUCCAGAAGAAGCUCCGGCCAACUACGUGCCAGCAGCCGCGGUAAUACGUAGGGAGCGAACGUUGUCCGGAAUUAUUGGGCGUAAAGGGCUCGUAGGCGGUUCAACAAGUCGGUCGUGAAAGCCCGGGGCUCAACCCCGGGACGCCGGUCGAAACUGUUGUGACUUGAGUUCGGUAGAGGUGAGUGGAAUUCUCAGUGUAGCGGUGGAAUGCGCAGAUAUUGAGAGGAACACCAUUAGCGAAGGCGGCUCACUGGGCCGAUACUGACGCUGAGGAGCGAAAGCGUGGGGAGCAAACAGGAUUAGAUACCCUGGUAGUCCACGCCGUAAACGAUGAACACUAG